rnacentral:rRNA from 1 species
AGACUUCGGUGGAUUUGAUCUAUUUCUAGUGGCGGACGGGUGAGUAACGCGUGGGUAACCUGCCUUAUACAGGGGGAUAACAGUCAGAAAUGGCUGCUAAUACCGCAUAAGCCCACGGCUCGGCAUCGAGCAGAGGGAAAAGGAGUGAUCCGCUUUGAGAUGGCCUCGCGUCCGAUUAGCUAGUUGGUGAGGUAACGGCCCACCAAGGCGACGAUCCAUAGCCGACCUGAGAGGGUGACCGGCCACAUUGGGACUGAGACACGGUCCAAACUCC